GUUACGCAGAACGCGGCGGCAGCGGCGGCCUGUGGUCCGGCCUCACCACCGAGGAACAGGGGAGACGUUAGCGUGAGUGAUCGGUCUCGAUCCCGGGGAAGUUCUGGUGAUUUUCACUGCCCUUGACAGUACCUCUGGAAAAGAGAGAAAGGUAUCCAGGGUACAAAGGUUUCCAAGGAAGACUACUAUUUUUUGCUUUUAUCAAGAGGAUGGCUUUAGCUGAUCAUCGUACUAAUGGGAAGGAGUCCAGGUCAUCCUGAGAAGAGUUGGCUUGUGCAGAGUCCAGGACGCAGAUUUGUUGGAUUUCUGUAAGCCACUCGAAACCACGUGUUCAUUUCUGAUGACAACUUUACACUUGUGUUGGCAGAACACCCACAGUGACAACUGUUGCCCAUGUUUAGUCUGUUCGGGAGCUCUACCAGUUAGCAUGUUUGGGAGAAGACCUAUACUGUUCUUGUUGGAAGCUGUGUAAAUAUUAGAUCUUUCUGAAUUUAUCUUCUCAGAUCUGCCAUAAUUUUAGAUAAAUUGCAUCCUGUGAUUGCCUCAACUUACCCUUUGAAAUGAAAGAUUGAAGGGUUUAGGCAUUCUUUGGGUCAUUUAAAGCACAAUUCUUUUUGCAUCAGUAAUUGGUUUUAUAUAUGUCCGGUUUAUGAUUUUUAAAAUUUUAUUUCCCCUGUGUCUUGGUUUCCUGUGGCUGCAAUUACCACAAACCUGGUGGCUUCAAACAACAGGAAUUUAUUCUCUCACAAUUCUGGAGGCCAGAAGUCUGCAAUCAAGGUGUUGAGCCCAUUCUGGAGGCCCUAGGGGAGAGUCCCUUUCUUGCCUUCCCAGCCUCUGGUGGUUGUCAGUUUUCCUUGGCUUAUGGCCUCAUCUCUCCCUGCUCUGUCUUAAUGUUGCCUUCUCUGCGUGUCUGUCUCAGAACUCCUGCCUCUCUUAAAAAGAUACAUGUGAUUGCACUUAAGACCCACUGAUAAUCCAGGAUAAAUUUCUCCUUUCACAUCUUUAAAUCACAUAUUUUGCCAUGUAAAGUAAUAUUCACAGGUUUGAGGGAUUAGGUCAUGGAUAACUUUUGGAGGGCCAUCAUUCAGACUGUUAUACCCUGGUUCUCUAACCCCUAUCCAAAUAAAUUUUACCUAAUUCAAAAAGGAAAGGUUAUUUUUUAAAAUGAGGGGCAGCUGGGGGGCGGGGGAAGGCUCAGGAAACCCAGGUGAGCCAAUUGCCCUCUUCAGUCCUUAGUUUCUUUUUUUUUUCUUUCUUUUUUUUUUGGCUGUGUUGGGUCUUUGUUGCUGCACAUGGGCUUUCUCUAGUUGUGAGCGGGGGCUACUCUGUUGCGGUGCGUGGGCUUCUCAUUGCGGUGGCUUCUCGUUCCGGUGCGCGGGCUUCAGUACUUGUGGUUCUCAGGCUCUAGAGCACAGGCUCAGUAGUUGUGGCGCAUGGGCUUAGACGCUCUGUGGCAUGUGGGAUCUUCCCGGACCAGGGCUCAAACCCGUGUCCCCUGCAUUGGCAAGUGGAUUCUUAACCACUGUGCCACCAGGGAAGUCCCAGUCCUUAGUUUCUUAUAUGGAAGAAAUUGGAUAGGUGAGAACUAAUAGCCUUCUGGACCUAGGACUUUUAUGAAGUGACUCCUAAAUUGUCUUGGAGUUUAUUUUUGAAGUUAAUUUUAAAUGCAAAUCAAGAACUCAUUCUUAUAUUUUGGGCCAAUGUAGUCCACUGGUGGUUUUGCCUAGGACUUGAGGGACAGAAGACUUCGUUGGCUGCUUGUCAACUUCUCAGGAUGUUAACACAGGAUAACAAACUGUACUUGUUAAUUGUGUGUGAUUUUCUAAAAAGAAUGUAAUGGACUAGCUGGGCCACUUUUCACUCUUUCUAAUGAGGCUGUGGACUGUGUAGUCUGGAUUUCCUAUCCAGUAAGAAUAGUUCAUCAAAUUUAAACACUUACAAUCAAUUAUACCUCAAUUUAAAAUUAUUUUUAAAGAGAGGGGAGUAAGCAGAAUUUUAAGAAAAGAAAAUAGCACUGACAGAUUUUUCUAACUGAAAAUAGGUCAUGGACCUAGUUUAAAAAUUUUUCACAUGCAGUCCUUUUUUUUUUUUAAACCAAUUGUCAUGCCGGAUCUUAGUUUCCUGACCAGGGAUCGAACCCGUGCCCCCUGCAGUAGAAGUGCGGAUUCUUAACCACUGGACCACCAGGGAAGUCCCAACAUGCAGUCUUAUUCUUCAGACUUAUUAAGUGCCUGUUGCAUUGUGUUUCAUUGCUAGGAAGGACACCAGAAAGCAUAGGAUUGAGAUGGUGUCACUGAAAGGACUACUUUAAGAUCAAGUUUCAUAACACACUCAUUAUUUAUUUCUUCCAUGGAGAGGAGGAAUCAAAUUGAAUUCAAGUAUUUCUCUGAUUGUAAUCUACAAUUCUUAGAAUAAAGCAAGUUCAUAUCUGAGCCAGCAGGCAUAAUUAUGUUGGAAUAAAAUGCCCUCUGCUAAAGAGGUCAGCCAAUAGGCUGGGAAAUCUAUCUUAAGUUUGGUUUCUGAGGCAAAUCCUUGUGCCUUGUUUCUCAUCCCUAAAUCAGUAAGACUCACUUACUACCUCACAGGGAGUUGUGGAGGGUAAUAUACUGCUAAUUUGUUCAGUAUUUCACAACAAUAAAUUAUAUCUAGGAAUCUGAUGAAACAUAGGCAAACCUCAUAUGUGUAGUUAGAGACAAGCAUAGGUGAAACUUACAGAUAGUUCAGCAAAUUCAUUAAAGUUAUUUUUAACAUCCAACAUUUUACCUUCUGUUUCCUGUAUAUUCUCGUUUUCUUGUUCUUUUUCCAUAAUAGACAUGAGGUAGGUAGGGCAAAUAGCUAACACUAGGUUAGAGGAUAAAAGGAUCAACUCAUCAAGAGGACACAAUAAAAAAAAAAAAAAGACACAAUAAUCCUACACAACUAAUAAUAAGUGUCAAAGUAC
rnacentral:lncRNA from 1 species